rnacentral:rRNA from 1 species
UACGUAGGCAGCGAGCGUUGUUCGGAUUUACUGGGCGUAAAGAGUGCGUAGGCGGUUUUCUAAGUUUGGUGUGAAAUCUCCCGGCUCAACUGGGAGGGUGCGCCGAAGACUGGAAGGCUUGAGUAUGGGAGAGGUAAGCGGAAUUCCUGGUGUAGCGGUGAAAUGCGUAGAUAUUGGGAGGAACACCAGUGGCGAAGGCGGCUCACUGGACCGGAACUGACGCUGAGGCGCGAAAGCGUGGGGAGCAAACAGG